rnacentral:lncRNA from 1 species
GCCCACUCUAAACCAAAUUUUCUUCAUACGAAAGCUAUGAUCAAAUCUCUGACCAUUUAUUUAAGACAAAUGCCUUAACACUUGAAUCAAUCUAUCGGAAUGUGUUCUUAUGUAAAAGUAUAUAAACCAAAAUUGAAAUAAGGACAGAAAAAUAUUAAACAAUGGGAGCUAGAGUUUGGCAUUUCCGGAUUUUUCUCACAUUCUAGUGAUUGCUUAACAUGUACUUAAUUUCAAUCAGCAGGAAUUAAGUUAUUGUCAACGCACAUGUCCUACCAUUACAUUUCAUGUACAUAAAUUAUAUGAGCUUUUAUGUUGCACAUUAAUACACAAAUAAUGCCCUUGCUGGAAAAAGUACUAUUAAACGUGUGGCUGAAGCUAUGCUAUAAAUAAUAAUUCAGCUGGUUUGCAUAAAAUUAGAAAAUAUUUCAUGAGUACAUGUGUGUGGUAGAGAUUCAGAAUUCAUUGACAUUAUCUUCUAUAUUGAAUAGCAAAUAGCAACUUGUUCGUGUGAUUAAGGACGAUAAUGAUAUAAAAUUACAU